CAACGGGUAACGGGGAAUUAGGGUUCGAUUUCGGAGAGGGAGCCUGAGAAACGGCUCCCACAUCCAAGGAAGGCAGCAGGCGCGCAAAUUACCCAAUCCCGACUCGGGGGAGGUAGUACAAAUAAUAACAUACAGGGGCUCUUUGGGUCUUGUAAUUGGAAUGAGUACAAUCUAAAUCCCUAAUGAGAUC
rnacentral:rRNA from 1 species